UUACGUAAGGCGCGAGUCCCGCGCGGCCGGCCGGGGCUCCGCGACUGGGCGGGCGGAGGCGGCGCCGCCCUGCAGGAUCCGGGCUGGAAGCCUCUCGGAGUGCUGCCUCCAGCCAAGGGGCGGCCGGCGAGUCCCAGUGAGAGCGGAGGGUGCCAGAGGUAGGGGGCCGAGAAACAAAGUUCCCGGGGCUCCCUCCGGGGCCGCGGUCGGGGCUGCGCGUUUGACCGCCCCCCUCCUCGCGAAGGCAAUGGCUUCCAAACUCCUGCGCGCGGUCAUCCUCGGGCCGCCCGGCUCGGGCAAGGGCACCGUGUGCCAGAGGAUCGCCCAGAACUUUGGUCUCCAGCAUCUCUCCAGCGGCCACUUCUUGCGGGAGAACAUCAAGGCCAGCACCGAAGUUGGUGAGAUGGCAAAGCAGUAUAUAGAGAAAAGUCUUUUGGUUCCAGACCAUGUGAUCACACGCCUAAUGAUGUCCGAGUUGGAGAAUAGGCGUGGCCAGCACUGGCUCCUUGAUGGUUUUCCUAGGACAUUAGGACAAGCCGAAGCCCUGAACAAAAUCUGUGAAGUGGAUCUAGUGAUCAGUUUGAAUAUUCCAUUUGAAACACUUAAAGAUCGUCUCAGCCGCCGUUGGAUUCACCCUCCUAGCGGAAGGGUAUAUAACCUGGACUUCAAUCCACCUCAUGUACAUGGUAUUGAUGACGUCACUGGUGAACCAUUAGUCCAGCAGGAGGAUGAUAAACCCGAAGCAGUUGCUGCCAGGCUAAGACAGUACAAAGACGUGGCAAAGCCAGUCAUUGAAUUAUACAAGAGCCGAGGAGUGCUCCACCAAUUUUCCGG
rnacentral:sRNA from 1 species